rnacentral:rRNA from 1 species
UGCGUAGGCGGUUCCGUAAGUUUGGUGUGAAAUCUCCCGGCUUAACUGGGAGGGUGCGCCGAAAACUGCGGGGCUGGAGUAUGGGAGAGGUAAGCGGAAUUCCUGGUGUAGCGGUGAAAUGCGUAGAUAUCAGGAGGAACACCAGCGGUGUAGACGGCUUACUGGACCAUGACUGACGCUGAGGCACGAAAGCGUGGGGAGCAAACA